AAUGAAAUAGUUUAAAAUGAAGAAUGUUGGGUUUGCGUCUCGAAGGUAGAGUAAUUCUUUUUGUUG
rnacentral:tRNA from 1 species